AUUUUGUAAACUAAAUUAUUUUCAAAAAUAUCUGUUACUUUUGAUUUUACUGACUACUGUAUCAUAAACAAAAAUUACUUUUCAAUAGUAUGCAACAUGGGGGUUGCCAUGUUUUUCACAAAGUAAACUUGCAUUUUUGUUAGCUUCGUUAGACUUUUGUAUGAUAUGUCACAGUUAUGGAGCAUAUGCAGUGCAUAGUAAAAUUUUUUGACCACCUCAUUAAAACUGAGUUUAAUAUGUUAGACUUUUUGAACACACUCGUAGACAAAAUUCAUAUUUCAAAUAAUCCAUUAUUUCAUAUGAUGAAACUGCCUAAUAUCAAUUUGAAAUCUUAUACUACCCACUUAUAUAAAGCAUUAGAUUUAUUGUGUUCUUUAUUAGACAGUUGCUUGAUGAUGCAUUUAU
rnacentral:lncRNA from 1 species